rnacentral:rRNA from 1 species
GACGAACGCUGGCGGCGUGCUUAACACAUGCAAGUCGAACGGAAAGGCCCUGCUUUUGUGGGUGGCUCGAGUGGCGAACGGGUGAGUAACACGUGAGUAACCUGCCCUUGACUUUGGGAUAACUUCAGGAAACUGGGGCUAAUACCGGAUAGGAGCUCCUGCUGCAUGGGGGGGGUUGGAAAGUUUCGGCGGUUGGGGAUGGACUCGCGGCUUAUCAGCUUGUUGGUGGGGUAGUGGCUUACCAAGGCUUUGACGGGUAGCCGGCCUGAGAGGGUGACCGGCCACAUUGGGACUGAGAUACGGCCCAGACUCCUACGGGAGGCAGCAGUGGGGAAUAUUGCACAAUGGGCGGAAGCCUGAUGCAGCAACGCCGCGUGCGGGAUGACGGCCUUCGGGUUGUAAACCGCUUUCGCCUGUGACGAAGCGUGAGUGACGGUAAUGGGUAAAGAAGCACCGGCUAACUACGUG